rnacentral:lncRNA from 12 species
CCCCCCCGGGGUCCCUAUAGGGUAAUGGAAUGGCUCACUAUGUGGCAGGGGGUUCCUAUAGGGUAAUGGAAUGGCUCACUAUUUGGCACGGGGGUCCCUAUAGGGUAAUGGAAUGGCUCAUUAUAUGGCACGGGGGUCCCUGUAGGGUAAUGUAAUGGAAUUGCUCACUAUGUGGCAGGGGGGUGCCUAUAGGGUAAUGGAAUGGCUCACUAUGUGGCGGGGGGGUUUCUCUAUAGGGUAAUGGAAUGGCUCACUAUGUGGCACGGGGGACCCUAUAGGUUAAUGGAAUGGCUCACUAUGUGGCAGGAGGGUCCCUAUAGGGUAAUGGAAUGGCUCACUAUGUGGCAGGGGGGUCCCUAUAGGGUAAUGGAAUGGCUCACUAUGUGGCAGGAGGGUCCCUAUAGGGUAAUCAAAUGGCUCACUAUGUGGCAGGGGGGUCCCUAUAGGGUAAUGGAAUGGCUCACUAUGUGGCAGGGGGGUCCCUAUAGGGUAAUGGAAUGGCUCACUAUGUGGCAGGGGGGUCCCUAUAGGGUAAUGGAAUGGCUCACUAUGUGGCAGGGGGGUCCCUAUAGGGUAAUGGAAUGGCUCACUAUGUGGCAGGGGGGUCCCUAUAGGGUAAUGGAAUGGCUCACUAUGUGGCAGGGGGGUCCCUAUAGGGUAAUGGAAUGGCUCACUAUGUGGCAGGGGGGUCCCUAUAGGGUAAUGGAAUGGCUCACUAUGUGGCAGGGGGGUCCCUAUAGGGUAAUGGAAUGGCUCACUAUGUGGCAGGGGGGUCCCUAUAGGGUAAUGGAAUGGCUCACUAUGUGGCAGGGCGGUCCCUAUAGGGUAAUGUAAUGGCUCACUCUGUGGCAGGGGGGGGUCCAUGGCGCUCUGGCUCCAUAUUUGUCAGGCCGCGGUCUAUGGGGGUUCUGAUUGGCUCAUAAUUUGGCAGGGGGGGCUGUAGGGUAAUGGCUCACUAUAUGGCAGCGAGGGGUCAAUGGGGAUUCCCAUCGGCUCACUAUGUGGCAGGGGGUCCGGUCCAAUAUGGGGAGGGGGCCUGGCUCACUUUUUGGCACGGGGGGUCCCCUAUGGGCUCACACAUGGCUCACUAUGUGGCAGGGGGGGGUCCCUAUGGGCAGAAUCAAUGGCUCACUAUGUGGCAAGAGGCUCCGAUGUGUGGGGAGGGGCCGUGUCUCAUUAUUUGGCAACCCUGAGUCACUAUUUGGCAGCUUGGGGUCACUAUUUGGCAACCCCCCCUCCCCCCUGCAGGGCCGGGCGUGGAUCACUAUUUGGCAAGGCCACGCCCCAGGGUUGGGCCAUGGAUCACAAUUUGGCAGUGACGCAUUUCCGCCCCCCGCCCCUCCCCCACCCCCCCCCCCCCCCCCCCCCCCCCCCCCCCCCCCCCCCCCCCCCCCCCCCCCCCCCCCCCCCCCCCCCCCCCCCCCCCCCCCCCCC